rnacentral:rRNA from 1 species
UAGGGAAUCUUCCGCAAUGGACGAAAGUCUGACGGAGCAACGCCGCGUGAGUGAUGAAGGCUUUCGGGUCGUAAAACUCUGUUGUUAGGGAAGAACAAGUACGAGAGUAACUGCUCGUACCUUGGCGGUACCUAACCAGAAAGCCACGGCUAACUACGUGCCAGCAGCCGCGGUAAUACGGAGGUGGCAAGCGUUAUCCGGAAUUAUUGGGCGUAAAGCGCGCGCAGGCGGUUUCUUAAGUCUGAUGUGAAAGCCCACGGCUCAACCGUGGAGGGUCAUUGGAAACUGGGGAACUUGAGUGCAGAAGAGAAAAGCGGAAUUCCACGUGUAGCGGUGAAAUGCGUAGAGAUGUGGAGGAACACCAGUGGCGAAGGCGGCUUUUUGGUCUGUAACUGACGCUGAGGCGCGAAAGCGUGGGGAGCAAACA